GCAAACUUGGUCAUUUAGAGGAAGUAAAAGUCGUAACAAGGUUUCCGUAGGUGAACCUGCGGAAGGAUCAUUACCGAGUUUUGGGUUCCUGCACAGGGCCCGAUCUCCCACCCCUUGUGUAUUGGUGCUGUUCAAAGUUUCUUGUUGCUUUGGCAGGUGAUUCUGCCUGCCAAACAACAGCACAAAUGAAUCAAUCUCUAAAGGUGUUGUCUGAAAUAUAUUCUUUUGAAAUAGUUAAAAACUUUCAACAACGGAUCUCUUGGUUCCCGCAUCGAUGAAGAACGCAGC
rnacentral:misc_RNA from 1 species